rnacentral:lncRNA from 1 species
GAGAAACAUGGCCUACUCUGCAAAGCCUUCUCACCUUCUUCUCUUUGUUUUCUUUCUCUCAUCACUUGAAUCCAUUCUUGCAACAACACAAGAGGGAGAAGCUCUUGUGAAGUGGAAGAAUAGCCUAGCCCCUUCUUCUUUUCUCGACUCUUGGUCACUCACCAAUCUCGAAAAUCUUUGUAACUGGACUGGCAUUACUUGUAACUCUGCAGGUUCAGUCUCGGAGAUUAACCUUUGUGAGAAACAACUUGAUGGAAUGCUGUCCGAGUUUGGUUUCACUUCAUUUCCAAAUCUCAACAAUCUCAUCCUCGCAGAUAACUUCUUCUCGGGUCCCAUACCACCGGCCAUUGAGAAUUUAACACAGCUUCGAUUUCUUGAUUUAAGCUUUAAUUCUCUCCAUGGUCCCAUUCCGUUCCAGGUUAGCCAUCUUCAGAGCUUGCUCAUCUUAAACCUGUCACAGAAUGCAUUGCAAGCUCCAAAUUGGUCCCAUUUCUCUCCCAUGCCUUUCUUGCGCAUCCUCAACCUCAGUUACAAUCCUCUUGCGUCGAAAUUCCCAUAUUUUAUAUCCAAUUCUCAUAGCCUGACUCACCUUAGCCUUAAUUAUAACGAGUUUACUGGUGAUUUAGUACGUGAAUCAGUAUUUGCCAAUCUGCAUAAUCUUGAAGUGCUCAGUCUUGUUGGCAAUUCUUUUGAGGGGCCAUUUCCGCCGGAUGUAGUCCAGCUUUCCAAAUUAAAACGUCUCUUCCUGUCAGGUAACAAAUUUUCAGGUUCAAUUCCCAAUGACAUAAGGUUGCUUUGUGAUCUUGAAUACCUAUAUUUAGGCAACAAUUCCUUUGAAGGACCGCUUCCACCAAAUAUAUUCAAGCUUUCAAAAUUAAAAAAUCUUGUUAUUUGGAGUAAUAAGUUUUCAGGUUCUAUUUCCAAUGAUAUAGGUUUGCUUUCUGAGCUUGACACCCUCAAUCUUCGCUCUAAUUUUUUUAAGGGUCCGCUUCCGUCAAAUAUAUUCAAGCUUUCCAAAUUAACAAGUCUUGACCUCGCAGACAAUAGAAAUUUAUUUGAAGGAAGUAUUCCUAUUGGACUGGGACUCUUGACUAACCUCAGGUUCUUAGAUCUACAUUCCAGUAAUCUCAGUGGCUAUAUUCCAUCUGACAUUGGAAACCUGAAGCUACUAGUACUUCUUAAUCUCGGUUCUAAUAAAUUGACUGGACCGCUUUUAAAGAUCGUUUCUAAUCUCACAAAUCUUAUAUAUUUUGAUGUAAGUGAUAAUAGUCUUCGUGGAAAUAUUCAGAGUGACUUGUGGAUAUAUAACGAUCAUCCAACUUUGGAAUACAUCAAUUUAAGUGGGAACCAUUUUACGGGUAUAGUUUUUCUCUAUAGAUCUUUUCCUUUUGUCAUAUGUAACUAAGCUAGUAAUCUGGUUAUUGCAGUUUUACCAAAGUUUCAACAAUCUUGACAGGUGAGCUUCCAACAACAAUUUGCAAUGUCACUUCCCUUUCAAUUCUUGAUUUGUCAAAUAAUGAAUUAAGUGGUGCACUUCCAAACUGUUUCGGGAAUCUUGCUGAUGGAUUGCUUUACAUUAAUCUUGCUAAUAAUCAGUUUCGAGGAACAAUACCAACUACUUUCUCCAGGAGUUGUCAGCUGACAUAUCUAAACAUGGAUGAUAAUGAGUUUGAAGGAUUGUUGCCCCCAUCUUUGGCGAACUGUAAGCACUUGAAAAUUUUUGAUAUUGGCAAUAAUAAAAUAGGUGGUACAUUUCCGUCAUGGCUUUAUGCACUUGGAGAGCUAGAAGUCCUUGUCUUGCGAUCAAAUAAACUCUGUGGUACAAUAAGUGGAAGGAGCAUAGAAGAUCCCUUCCCCAAGUUGCGGAUUGUGGAUCUGUCCAACAACCACUUCACAGGCCAUUUGCCAAUUCAAUACUUUAAGAAUAUGAAAUCAACUGAUAAUUUGUAUAGUUAUCAGCUUUUCACAGCAGUUUUUUCUUUCCAUUAUGAAGCAGCAGUCUCAUUAAUUGUGAAGGGAACAGAGUAUGAAGUGGCAAAUAACCUUCAUAUUUACACAGCCAUUGAUCUGUCGUGCAACAAAUUUCAGGGAGAAAUUCCAAAGGUUACUGGAGAGCUUAGAUGGCUUGCAUUGCUCAACUUAUCUCAUAAUAGUCUAACAGGACCUAUCCCAUCAUUGCUGGGAAAUAUGAAAGAACUCCAAUCUUUAGAUUUGUCUUCAAAUCAACUGACAGGGGCCAUUCCACCUCAGCUAACUGCAUUGACAUUUCUAGAGGUCUUAAACCUCUCGGGAAACCAUCUUAGUGGAGAGAUUCCUCAGAAAGGACAGUUCAGCACAUUUAACAAUGAUUCUUAUCUAGGAAACUCCGCGUUAUGUGGAUCACCUUUGACGAAGAAAUGUGCAAACACAGCAUCACCUCCACAAGAAGUCGGAAAUGGUGAUGAAGANGAUUUGUCUUCAAAUCAACUGACAGGGGCCAUUCCACCUCAGCUAACUGCAUUGACAUUUCUAGAGGUCUUAAACCUCUCGGGAAACCAUCUUAGUGGAGAGAUUCCUCAGAAAGGACAGUUCAGCACAUUUAACAAUGAUUCUUAUCUAGGAAACUCCGCGUUAUGUGGAUCACCUUUGACGAAGAAAUGUGCAAACACAGCAUCACCUCCACAAGAAGUCGGAAAUGGUGAUGAAGAAGAUGGUGGUGAUGAAUUGACAUGGGAAGCAAUCGUGAUGGGAUAUGGAUGUGGACUGAUAUGUGGAUUGUCAUCGGCAUACAUUGUUCUCAAACUAGGAAAGCCUUGGUGGUUUGUGAGAUAUAUCGAAGUACUGCAACAGAAGUUGAUGAAAAGAUGCUUGAAGAAAGGUACUGGUCGAUCAAGACGAACUUGAAAGUUGUUGUCCAUGUGGACAUUUCUGAACCAGUAGUGUACUAGCUGCAUAAGUAUUUGGUAUUAUGUAAUAUUCUGUUUGGUGGGGAAUCAUAAUAAUUUUUCUUCCUGUAGGGGUAUUAAUAUUAACCUUGUUAUCUUGAUCAAUGUUAAUGCAAAUUAAAAUGAAUGAAAAAACAAAAAAUAUGCAUCAAAUCCACUCCUGCUGUACCAAGAUCCAUUAAUUUGCUUUGGUCUUUUACAUAACAAUUUAACAGCGCACUUCCCCACUGUUUGAAAGAAUUUAAUAAUAAACUCGAGUUUUCCAGGACUGCACCAAGUUCACAUAUUCAAUAUCACACAUUCCAGUCUCAGCUUCAGCUCCCAGGGUAGAAGAGAAGUUUUAUGUACAAUAACAGUUAAUUACCAUAGCUACUUUAGUCUUGGUUCAGUUUUUGCAGAGAUAAUUACCAGAUUUUGAAAUCCUUCAUGUGAGGAAACAAAUAUCGAGAGACAUUUCUGUUUACAAAUAUAGGUUUUCUAGACAUAAUUACAGGAACUUUUACCAUUAUACACUUUUAUAGUACUGGUUAAGAGUUUGUUGUUCAGCCUAGUGAAAGAAAUAAUUCCUCUGCUAUUUCAUUAACAUUGCUGGUAUAUAUACAAUGUACAACACACCCUUCAAGGCUAUAAUCAGGGAACCUAAAAUAUAUCCAAAACUAAUCAUAGAAACAGACUAACUAAUUACAAUAAAUCAUAUCCAGAAAUAUCUCCACAGAUGUCGCAUAGAUAUCUUUAACACACCCCCUCAGUCGAAGCGGGAGGUAAACGAACACUGAGACUGUCUCUGAAGUCUUCAAAAAGAACACGCGGAAGACCUUUUGUAAAAAUAUCUGCUACUUGAUAUCUGGAUGGCACAUGAAGAACCCGUACUUCACCUCGUGCAACUUUUUCCCGAACAAAGUGAAUAUCCAUCUCAAUGUGUUUAGUACGUUGGUGUUGUACUGGAUUACCCGAUAAAUAAAUAGCACUGACAUUGUCGCAAUACACCACAGUUGCCUUUGUAACUGGACAAUGCAAUUCCAACAACAGAUUUCGGAGCCAACAUGAUUCAGAGACCACAUUAGCUACACCCCUAUACUCGGCCUCUGCACUGGAUUUGGAAAGAGUCGGUUGUCGCUUAGAAGACCAGGAAAUCAAGUUGUCACCCAAAAACACACAAUACCCAGAUGUAGACCGCCUCGUGUCGGGGCACCCACCCCAGUCAGCGUCAGUAUAUGAAACAAGAGAGGACUGUGAAGAGGAAUAGAGAUGUAAACCAUAGUCCUGUGUUCCUUGAAUGUACCUAAUGAUUCUUUUAAGAGCUUGCAUAUGAGUAACCCGUGGAUCAUGCAUGUGCAGACAUACUUGUUGAACCGCAUAAGAAAUAUAUGGACGUGUGAAAGUCAGAUAUUAAAGUGCCCCAGCAAGACUCCGAUACAAUGAAGGAUUCUCAAACACAGAACCAACAGACGCACUAACCUUGGCCUUCGUAUCAACUGGUGUAGGUGAUGAUUUACAAGAGGACAUGCCAGCCCUCUCAAUUAUCUGUUGUGCAUAAUUCUUCUGUGACAGAAACAUGCCAGCCUUAUGACGAGUGACUGAUAUACCAAGAAAAGAACUCAAGGGGCCAAGAUCCUUCAUAGCAAAUUCUGAACUAAGAAGCUUUAUAAUCGAGACACGGAGAUCAUCAGACGACGCAGUGAGAAUUAUGUCAUCGACGUAAACCAGAAUAUAGGCCAUGUGAGAACCGUUGCGAUAAACGAAUAAUGAGGUGUCACAUUUGCUUCUAAUGAAACCAAUAGACAGAACAAAAUCAGCAAACUUCUCAGACCAAGUCCGGGGGGACUGCCUCAGGCCAUAAAUUGAUUUACGUAACAAACACACAUAAUCCGGAUGAGCACGAUCACGAUACCCCAAAGGUUGAUGCAUAUAUAUUGUUUCCUUUAAGUCACCAUGAAGGAAGGCAUUCUUUACAUCUAGCUGAUGAAUUGACCAGCCAUUCGAAAGAGAGAGAGAAAGCACUGUGCGGAUUGUAGCUGGUUUCACUACCGAGCUAAAAGUUUCGCCACAAUCAAUACCCACCAGCUGAGUUUUUCCAUUUCCGACAAGGCGAGCUUUAUGCCUCUGAAACACACCAUCCGAAUUUUCUUUAUGAGCAAAAACCCACAUAGACCGAAUAACAUUAACAUCAGGUGGACGGGGCACCAAAUCCCAUGUCUUAUUUUGAAUAAGUGCAUUAUACUCCUCAUCCAUGGCUAUUUUCCAAUUCGGGUCCCGAAGAGCAUCAACAGGGCUAUGUGGUAAAGGUGACCGAGGAGCUGUUGUGUUAUAUGCAUGAUCAGAAUAUCGCAUAUUUGGUUUAAAAAUACCUCGUUGGCUCCUGGUAACCAUUGGGUGCUGGUUUAUAGGAGUAGGGGAAGAUGUUGAUGUUUGUGGACUCGAGGAGGAAGAUGAACUCAAUGAGGAGGGAGAUGGCGACGUUGAUGAAAGUAAGGGAGAGGAGGAUUGGUUUGAGAGUACUGGACUCGGUGAAAGAGAAUGAGGAGAACUCCCAGGGGAAGGUGAGAAACUACCAUGUCGUGUCUCAUGUGUGUGAGUACUGUCUGGGUGAGCAGACACAGACACAGAAGGACUUUGAUUUUGCAGAUGAUACACUGAAUAAGGUGAUAAGCCAUCUGCUAAAAAAUCAUAGGUAGAAGUGGAUGAAUCAUGUAACUUAGCAAACGGAAACACAUGCUCGUCAAAUAACACAUGGCGACAAAUUAUAAUCUGUGCUGUGAUGAUAAAUCAUAACAUUUGUAACCACGGUGAUUAGCCGGAAACCCCAAGAAAACACAAGGUGUUGAACGAGAUUGCAAUUUAUUAAUUGUGGUAGAGGGAAUGAGAGGAUAGCACAAGCAACCAAAGACCCGAAUGUGAGAAAAUGAGGGAACCCGUUGAUAUAGGAUUUCAAGAGGUGAUAAAUUGCCUAAGACCUUGUUCGGAAGAACAUUUAGAAGAUAGGUGGCCAUUUGUAAUGCAUGAUUCCAAAAAGAUGAAGGAAGAGAUGCAUGAGCUAAGAGUGUUCGAGUGACAUUAUUAAUAGUUCGAAUUUUUCUUUCUGCUUUCCCAUUUUGAGAAGAAGUAUGAGGACAAGACAACCGAAAAGUCAUGCCAUUGUUCUUAAAAAAAUCCCAGAAAUGAUGAUUAGUAAAUUCCCUCCCAUUAUCGCAUUGCACAUUUUUAAUGGUACACUCGAAUUGGGUGAGAAUAUGAUUGUGAAACGCCACAAAUUUAUCAAAGACAUCAGAUUUCUUAGCAAUUGGAAAAGUCCAAAGAAAAUUGGAGAAAUCAUCUAAUAACACAAGAUAGUACUUAUGACCCAUAGUACUCAAAACCGGAGAUGUCCAAAGAUCACAAUGAAUUAUAUCAAAUGGCUUUAAAGUACUUGAACUAGACGAAACAAAUGGCAUCUUGAUAUGUUUUCCAAACACACAAGAUCGACAAAUGCUAGAAUGUGAAAGCUUAGAACAAUGAAUGCUUUUAUUGAGUCGAAGAGCAUCCAAAACUUGUGCACCGGGAUGGCCUAAACGAUCAUGCCAAAGAGAGGAAUUGAUGGCUGCAAAAGUAGAAUGAAGAGCUCGAUUGUUGAUAGAUUGUGUAAGAGGAUAAAGAUCGCCUUGGCUCUCACAUCUCAUUAUUAGCACUCACGUCUGUAAAUCCUUCACAGAAAACCCAAAAGGAUCAAAUUCCACCGUAACAGAAUUAUCAGUGGUAAAUUUGCGAACAGAAAUAAGGUUUUUAACAAUUUUGGGAGCGUGGAGGACAUUUUUAAGGGACAAAGGAAGGCCAGGAGAUGGUAAUGCAGUAUGACCAUAUCCUUGAAUUGAAAUAAUAUUGCCAUCACCCACAACAAUGCCAUUAUGAUGAGAAUUAUGUUGAUUGCUCAAAUUAACAUAGGACGAGAAAUUACCAUUUGAGGAUGUCAUAUGAGAUGUAGCACCAGUAUCCAUGUACCACGACGGAUCAGGUUGAUUGAGAGUCAUGGUAUGCAUUGCAGAUUCAAUAUCCGUUGGAACAAAAGAAGCUGACUGCCCAACCGUUGUUCCUGUGAAAGCCUGCUGUGGUCGAGGACCAAGAACUCCAGGCUGUGGUUGUUGAACUCCCGUGGAACGGGGCUGAGUCCAGCCCUGAGUUGGGAAUGGACAAGGGGGAGCGGACCAUCCCUGCAUCCAAGGUGGAGCAGCCAAGAUUGGAAAUAACCCGGUGCCCACUGUUGUGAACCCCAUUGCAUCCUAUUCUGUUGUUGUCCACCACCACGGCCUUGACCCAUACGACCCCCACCAGAACCACGACCUCCACCUGAACCAGAUCGUUUAUUAUUUUUCCUGUGGUUAUUAUGCUUAUUGCCACGGGGAGGUGCGGAUCCCUGAUUCGAGCCUGUGUCGUCAAAAUCCGUCUGUGAGGCAACCAACAUUGCAGAGUCAGACCCUGUGGCAGCUUCUUUUGCUAAAGCAGCCUCCUCUAAUGUUAACAUAGACCGGGCUUGAUAGAAUUGUGGGAGAGGGUCACUCUGUCGAAUUAAGGUCCCAACACCACGGUAUGCCCUUGGAAGGCCGGAAACCAGUUGAAUAACAAGUCUACUAUCCGAGAUUGGUGCACCAACAUUUUUCAGUUGAUCAGCAAGAGAUUUGAGACGCUGACAGUAAGCCGAAACAUUCGGAAAAUUCUCCAUUUUUGUACUGGAGAAUUCAGCCUCCAAAGUUACCACACGGGAAUUCUUGUUGUCCUGGAAUAUGUCACGCAACCUGUUCCAUGCCUCCAUAGCAGUGGCAUCUGGUUCAAUGAUCGUAUGUAAAAGAUCAUUGGAGAUAGUCGCAUAAAUCCAAGACAGAACCGUAGCAUCAAGCGUCGACCACAAUUCCUUUUCAUCCUCAGUAGAAAGAACCUUCUCUUUGCCUGUGGCAGGAGGAAUAAUAUGAGAAAGCACCUUAUGAGAACGUGCGGUAAUUUUGAAAAGCUCCGCCCAUGUCGAGUAUUGACCAUUCUCCAUCUCAAGAAUAAUGGGGAUAUGAUUGCGGAUAUUUGACACCGCAAGAGCUGGAUGAAAGGAGCUCUUGUUACCAGACAUUGGCUGCUGAUUAGUUGUAUCAGUCAUGAUAAUGAGAAAAGAAAAGAAGAUGAGUGCUUAGCGGAAGAAAAGAAAGAAAGAAAGAUCGUGGUAUUGCCUUAAGGCUCUGAUACCAUGAAAGAAAUAAUUCCUCUGCUAUUUCAUUAACAUUGCUGGUAUAUAUACAAUGUACAACACACCCUUCAAGGCUAUAAUCAGGGAACCUAAAAUAUAUCCAAAACUAAUCAUAGAAACAGACUAACUAAUUACAAUAAAUCAUAUCCAGAAAUAUCUCCACAGAUGUCGCAUAGAUAUCUUUAACACCUAGUCCUAAACUAAAAUUAUCAGUUCGAUGUGAAAUACGAAAUCAUAUUGCAGACGUCAUUCGUUGUUCCACCUAGUCCAAAACUACUCUAAAACUAUAUUGCUGGUAGUCUUUCAGUUCAUCCUACUGUAUGCAAUAGUUUCAUAUAUAGGUAACUCGGCCUUGUGUGGACUUCCUUUAACAAAAAAAUGUCUGCACUCAGUGUCACCACCACUGGAAGUCGAAAAUAGUGAUGAUGAAGAUGAUGCUCAUGGUGAACUUAAUUGGGAAGUAAUCCUGACGGGAUGUGGAUGUGGAUUGAUUUGCGGAUUGUCUUCUGGGUACAUUGUUUUCAAAAUAGAAAGGCCUUGGUGAUUUCUGCAAAGUGCUGCAACUUAAGUUGAUGUUACGAAGCACGAAAAAUAUUGUUCGACCAAGAUCAACAACUUGAAAAUGUGUUCUGAAUCUGUAUUAAUAUUAAAAUAUUAUAAUAUUAUUCAUUUAACACUAUCGUCCAAUCAAUUUAAUUGAUUAUCAUUUAAUCAAUAUAUUAGAUAAAUAUUAAUUGUCUUCCUUACCUCUAACCAAUGAUGAAAUUAAUAACCUCCCUAUAAAUCUAUUAAGACAGCUUUGAGUUGUCAAAGUCCUCAAACAUAUUAAACACUUUGAAAAAUUUGUUUCUGCAAGUCAAAAUUGCAAACAACACUUUGAAAACUUAGGUGCCGAAUAGUCCUUAUAUUGGAUUAAUCAGAUUUAAAUAUUUAAUGGCGCUAACAAAAUCUGUUGAAGUUAGCAGUUAUAAGGCAUAUAAUUAGAAAAAUGGCACAGUAUAUAAAGCCUCAUCAUCUUUUUCACUCUGUUUUAUUUCUCUCAUUACUUCCAUCCAUUCUUACAACACUAGCUGAAACAAGACGAGAGGGAGAAGCUCUUGUGAAAUGGAAGAAUAGCCUAGCCCCGUCUUCUUUUCUCGAUACUUGGUCACUAACCAAUCUCGAUGAUCUUUGCAACUGGACUGGCAUUACUUGUAACUCUGCAGGUUCAGUCUCUGAGAUUAACCUUAAACAAAAACAACUCAGUGGAACGAUUUCUGAGUUUGGUUUCACUUCAUUUCCAAAUCUCAACAAUCUGAACAUAGCACGAAACAACUUUUACGGUCCAAUACCACCAGCCAUUAAGAAUUUGACACAGCUUCAAUACCUUGAUUUAAGCUUUAAUCAUCUCAACGGUUCCAUCCCGUACCAGGUUAGCCAUCUUCAGAAAUUACAAAUCUUACACCUGUCGCAUAAUGAAUUGCAAGCUCCAAAUUGGUCCAAUUUCUCUUCCAUGCCUUUUUUGCGCAUCCUCGGCCUCGGCAGCAAUAAUCUGGAGUCAGAAUUCCCAGAAUUUAUAUCCAACUCUCAUGGCCUCACUUUCCUUGACCUUUCUUUUAACAAGUUUACAGGUGAUCUUGUGCAUGAAUCAAUUUUUACCGAUCUACGUAAUCUCGAAAACCUCCAUCUUGCUAAAAAUUACUUUGAGGGGCCGAUUCUACCUAGUAUAUUUAAGCUUUCCAAUUUAAAAAUUCUUGAACUAUCAGGUAAUAAAUUUUCUGGUUCUAUUUCCAACUAUAUAGGUUUGCUUUCGGAGCUUGAGACCCUCUAUCUUGACUUCAAUUUUUUUGAAGGACCAAUUCCACCAAAUAUAUUCAACCUUUCUAAACUAAAAAUUCUUGAACUAACAGGUAAUAACUUUUCAGGUCCUGUUUCUAAUGAUAUAAGUUUGCUUUCCGAGCUUGAAAACCUCAAUCUUGCCUUAAAUUCUUUUGAUGGGCCUUUUCCAUCAAAUAUGUUCAACCUAACCAUAUUGAGACAUCUAAAUCUCUAUGGCAAUAAAAAUUUAUUUAAAGGAAGUAUCCCACUGGAUAUCAAAAUAAGUCACAAGGACUAAUUAAUUACAUCUAUGAAGCAUCUAUCUCCUUAAAUGUGAAAGGAACAGAGUAUGAAGUGAAAAACAUUCUUCAUAUUUACACAACCAUUGAUCUGUCAUGCAACAAAUUUCAUGGACAUGUUCCAAAGAGAGCUUAAUUAAAUGGCUUGCAUUGCUCAAUCUAUCUCAUAAUAGUCUUAACAGACAUAUGUUCUGCAUUAUUAUUAUACUUUCAUCAAUAUUUUUAAACANAACAAAAACAACUCAGUGGAACGAUUUCUGAGUUUGGUUUCACUUCAUUUCCAAAUCUCAACAAUCUGAACAUAGCACGAAACAACUUUUACGGUCCAAUACCACCAGCCAUUAAGAAUUUGACACAGCUUCAAUACCUUGAUUUAAGCUUUAAUCAUCUCAACGGUUCCAUCCCGUACCAGGUUAGCCAUCUUCAGAAAUUACAAAUCUUACACCUGUCGCAUAAUGAAUUGCAAGCUCCAAAUUGGUCCAAUUUCUCUUCCAUGCCUUUUUUGCGCAUCCUCGGCCUCGGCAGCAAUAAUCUGGAGUCAGAAUUCCCAGAAUUUAUAUCCAACUCUCAUGGCCUCACUUUCCUUGACCUUUCUUUUAACAAGUUUACAGGUGAUCUUGUGCAUGAAUCAAUUUUUACCGAUCUACGUAAUCUCGAAAACCUCCAUCUUGCUAAAAAUUACUUUGAGGGGCCGAUUCUACCUAGUAUAUUUAAGCUUUCCAAUUUAAAAAUUCUUGAACUAUCAGGUAAUAAAUUUUCUGGUUCUAUUUCCAACUAUAUAGGUUUGCUUUCGGAGCUUGAGACCCUCUAUCUUGACUUCAAUUUUUUUGAAGGACCAAUUCCACCAAAUAUAUUCAACCUUUCUAAACUAAAAAUUCUUGAACUAACAGGUAAUAACUUUUCAGGUCCUGUUUCUAAUGAUAUAAGUUUGCUUUCCGAGCUUGAAAACCUCAAUCUUGCCUUAAAUUCUUUUGAUGGGCCUUUUCCAUCAAAUAUGUUCAACCUAACCAUAUUGAGACAUCUAAAUCUCUAUGGCAAUAAAAAUUUAUUUAAAGGAAGUAUCCCACUGGAUAUCAAAAUAAGUCACAAGGACUAAUUAAUUACAUCUAUGAAGCAUCUAUCUCCUUAAAUGUGAAAGGAACAGAGUAUGAAGUGAAAAACAUUCUUCAUAUUUACACAACCAUUGAUCUGUCAUGCAACAAAUUUCAUGGACAUGUUCCAAAGAGAGCUUAAUUAAAUGGCUUGCAUUGCUCAAUCUAUCUCAUAAUAGUCUUAACAGACAUAUGUUCUGCAUUAUUAUUAUACUUUCAUCAAUAUUUUUAAACAUUUCUCAAUAUGUAUUUUCAAAGAAUUCUCAAGCACUUGAACAUUUGGACCGGUUCUUUCGAAGCCAAGAUGCCCAGGUUAUAUCAUGGCCAUACACAAAAAUGCCCAAAAAUAAAUAAAUUAAGAGAGAUUGCUCUGGGUCUCCCCAAGCCUUCCAGGACUCAUUCCAAGUCUUCUGAGGACCACUGCCUCGCCCUUUCAAAGACGUGAUAGUAGCUCAAGAGUGAUAUAAAUUACUUUCCGGACACUAAAAAUAAAUAAUCCGAUCAAAUUAAUUAAUAAUAAAUUAAGGAUGAAAUCCAAAUUAGUCCUAAAUUUUGAUAAUAUAUAAAAAUUAUAAUUAUAAAUUAUAUAACCAAAUGAGAAUUGAAUUAACUUACUUGGUACUAAAAUUGAUAAAUACAGUAUAGUAAUUUAAUUGAUGAAAAGUCAAAGUCUUCUAAUAAAUCCAUAAAGAAUAUGAAAAUCAAAAUAACGAAAAUUAUAAUUGAAAAAUCAAAAUCAAUAGUGUAUUGGAAUAUUGUUCACACACUUAUAUAUCAAAAUUUGUGGUCCAAAAAUUAUAGCACAAUAUCCUAAAUACACCACAUUAAAUAAUAGUUCAAAAAUAUUCAAUAAAUAAUUGUUUUCAUUCAUAAUUUUGUUAUUUUAAAAACUAAUAAUUUGGUUGAUGUUAACCUAUAUUUUAAUAUAUAAUUAUAUUAUUUUCAUGUUAUUUUAUUUAACCAAAAACAAUAUUUUUAUAAUAUUUAUUACAUUAAUUAUAUUAAAAGAUAUAAUUUCAUUAAAAAAAUUGAAUAAAAUUAAGAGGAUAACUCUAUGCCUCUCCAAGUCUACAAGACUCAUUUCAAGUCUACCGAGGACCACUACCAUUGAGAGAUGUGAAAGUAGUUUGAGAGUGACAUAAAUUAUUUUCCUGACAAUAAAAUGUAAUAUCUAAUAUAAAUUAAUUAAAUUAGAUAAUAAUAAAUCAAAACUAAUCAUGAAUUAUGAUAAUAAUUAAAUAAAUUAUAAUUAAAUUAUAUAAAUCAACUCCAAAUGAUACAAAUAACACUAAACCUUAGUUACUUUAUUGGUAAAAUAAAUAUAAUAUAAUAAUUAAAUUGAUGAAAAAUCAAAAUCAUCUAAUAAAUUCACAAAAAAUAUAUGAUCAUUAGUAUAUUAUAUCAGUAUCCACACACUUAUAUUUCAAAAUCUAUCCUACAAAAUUAUCAUCUCUGUAAACUAGCCACAAAAAAUAAAAAUUUAAAGAUAUUAGAUAUUUAGUUAUUUUCAUUAUAUAAUUUUUCCACACUAAAUAACAAAAUAUCUUUAUCAAAUUAUUAUUUAUGAAUUAAAUAUUCAAGUUAUAAUUCCAGCAUGCAGCGUAUAAAUAGAAGUGUGCAGUAUGAUAUCAGAUUCAUAACCCAGUUGAGGAGAAACAUGGCACACUCUGUGAAGCCUUCUCACCUUCUUCUCUUUGUUUUCUUUCUCUCAUCACUUGAAUCCAUUCUUGCAACAACACGAGAGGGAGAAGCUCUUGUGAAAUGGAAGAAUAGCCUAGCCCCUUCUUCUUUUCUCGACUCUUGGUCCCUCACCAAUCUCGAUAAUCUUUGUAACUGGACUGCCAUUACUUGUAACUCUGCAGGUUCAGUCUCUAAGAUUAACCUUUUUGAGAAACAACUUAAUGGAAUGCUGUCCGAGUUCGGUUUCACUUCAUUUCCAAAUCUCAACUAUCUCACACUCGCAGACAACUUCUUCUCGGGUCCGAUACCACCAGCCAUUGAGAAUUUAACACAGCUUCAAUAUCUUGAUUUAAGCAUGAAUAGUCUUAAUGGUCCCAUUCCGUUCCAGGUUAGCCAUCUUCAGAGCUUGCUCAUCUUGAAC